rnacentral:rRNA from 1 species
AACGAACGCUGGCGGCAGGCCUAACACAUGCAAGUCGAGCGGACCCUUCGUGGUUAGCGGCGGACGGGUGAGUAACGCGUUGUAAUAUGCCCUUCUCUACGGAAUAGUCCUGGGAAACUGGGGGUAAUACCGUAUACGCCCUUUGGGGGAAAGAUUUAUCGGGGAAGGAUUAGCCCGCGUUGGAUUAGGUAGUUGGUGGGGUAAUGGCCUACCAAGCCGACGAUCCAUAGCUGGUUUGAGAGGAUGAUCAGCCACACUGGGACUGAGACACGGCCCAGACUCCUACGGGAGGCAGCAGUGGGGAAUCUUAGACAAUGGGGGCAACCCUGAUCUAGCCAUGCCGCGUGAGUGAUGAAGGCCUUAGGGUUGUAAAGCUCUUUCAGCUGGGAAGAUAAUGACGGUACCAGCAGAAGAAGCCCCGGCUAACUCCGUG